rnacentral:rRNA from 1 species
UACGUAGGGGGCUAGCGUUGUCCGGAAUCAUUGGGCGUAAAGAGCGCGUAGGCGGCCAGAUAAGUCCGGUGUGAAAGUCAAAGGCUCAACCUUUGAAUGCCGCUGGAAACUGUCUGGCUAGAGUCCGGGAGGGGCGAGUGGAAUUCCUGGUGUAGCGGUGAAAUGCGUAGAUAUCGUAAGGAAGACCAGUGGCGAAGGCGGGUCUCUGGACAGUUCCUGACACUGAGACACGAAGGCCAGGGGAGCAAACGGG